GCUAAGUGUUCUCAAGUUAUUAUCAUUGAUGCCAUGUGGCAACGUUUCAUGUAUUUGCUAAAAAGAUGCUAAAAACCAUUUGGAAUAGUAUACUUUGAAUAGUGAAACGUGUUUUAUUAGAUACAAUGUUGAGAAAAAGAUAAAGAAUAAAGUUUAAUUUCAGAAGAAACAACAUGCAGGUGGCCAAAAAUAUGCAUGUGCUCCUACAGGCUACAAAUUGUGAAUACCUAAAUUGGUCCUAAUACAGUAGCAGAGAAGCUAACACAUUUGCUAGCUCAACAGGCCAGUAUACAGUACUGACAUUAAAUGUGAUCAACAGGUCUCAGGUGGAAGCAGGAGGGCGCUCGGCUGCCGCAGAGAUCUGCGUCCAGUCCCAGCUGCGUAAAGCUGGAUACAGAAGGCCACAAUAAAAGCACCUAAACAUGUGUUUUGGUUUCAAAAUAAAAGCCCAGAUAUCUCUCUUGCCAAAUAAGAAAAGAUGUACAAACGGUACACUUGGACAUGUGAGCAGCGGGAGGUGGGGAUCGAACCGCCAACCCUGUGGACGACCCGGUCAGUCGCACCGACAUAGACAGGAUGCUCAUAGAAGUGAGCCAACUCGCCAUUAAGCACAUUUCAUGUAUGAUUAGUCAUUAUUGUGGUUUGAUAUUAUGUUAUGUUAGUAAUAUAACCUCAUUAAUGUUCCCACGGGCUCUGAACCGUUGACGCUGUAUAUAAACGUACGUCAACGUCUACAACGUCUGUGUGACACGAGCGCCCUCUCGCGGGGCCCCUGCAGAGUUGAUUGGUGAUCCCCAAACUCUUCUAACUGCCGUUACCGAGUGCAGGCGGUCUGUAAUGUACGUUAAUGUCAAAAUACUGUAGCGUUACAGGUUGUUUUUGUUGGUAAAAAUGUGUUUUAUACAAGUUGUACGUUAGACGGGGACUUCAAAUCAUAUAUUUAACAAAUUAUUGUCGGUGACUUUGCUAACUUUGACUUGUAUUAACGUUAGUUUUCACAAUUUUCCGUCGUGUAGUUAAGUUAGCUAACUAACCAACCACUUUUCAAUUCACACCACAGUAAUCAUAGAUGUUCUUUAAUUUGAAUCGUAUUUAACUUAUUAACUAGCAUUUCCGUAAUACGUUGAUACGCAAUGCAAGUUUUAUUUUGAAGGUUGCAUCCGGAAGUGGCACUAGUUAUCCUUAAACUGACUUUAAC
rnacentral:lncRNA from 1 species